GCUGCCUCUAGAAACAUUACAGGUGUGGCUACUGUGUCACUUUUGUAACCAUAGGUGGCAGAGAGAAGAAAGGCAAUGUCAAUGCUCAAUAUCUGAUCUAUGAACAUCUGAAUGAUUAGUAGCCUAACAUU